rnacentral:rRNA from 1 species
UCUACGGGGGGCAGCAGUGGGGAAUAUUGCACAAUGGGGGAAACUCUGAUGCAGCAACGCCGCGUGAAGGAAGACGGUCUUCGGAUUGUAAACUUCCGUUCUUAGUGAAGAAGAAUGACGGUAGCUAAGGAGCAAGCCACGGCUAACUACGUGCCAGCAGCCGCGGUAAGACGUAGGUGGCAAGCGUUGUCCGGAAUUACUGGGUGUAAAGGGGGCGCAGGCGGGAAGCCAAGUCAGCUGUGAAAACUACGGGCUUAACUUGUAGACUGCAGUUGAAAAUGGUUUUCUUGAGUGAAGUAGGGGUUGGCGGAAUUCCGGGUGUAGCGGUGAAAUGCGUAGAUAUUCGGAGGAACACCGGUGGCGAAGGCGGCCGACUGGGCUUUAACUGACGCUGAGGCUCGAAAGUGUGGGGAGCAAACAGGAUUAGAUACCCUGGUAGUC